GAUGAACGCUGGCGGCGUGCUUAACACAUGCCAGUCGAACGGAAAGGCUCCUGCUUGCAGGGGUACUCGAGUGGCGAACGGGUGAGUAACACGUGGGUGAUCUGCCCUGCACUUCGGGAUAAGCCUGGGAAACUGGGUCUAAUACCGGAUAGGACGAUGGUUUGGAUGCCAUUGUGGAAAGUUUUUUCGGUGUGGGAUGAGCUCGCGGCCUAUCAGCUUGUUGGUGGGGUAAUGGCCUACCAAGGCGUCGACGGGUAGCCGGCCUGAGAGGGUGUACGGCCACAUUGGGACUGAGAUACGGCCCAGACUCCUACGGGAGGCAGCAGUGGGGAAUAUUGCACAAUAGGCGCAAGCCUGAUGCAGCGACGCCGCGUGGGGGAUGACGGCCUUCGGGUUGUAAACUCCUUUCGCUAGGGACGAAGCGCAAGUGACGGUACCUGGAGAAGAAGCACCGGCUAACUACGUG
rnacentral:rRNA from 1 species